UGGGGAAUAUUGCGCAAUGGGCGAAAGCCUGACGCAGCGACGCCGCGUGAGGGAUGAAGGUUUACGGAUCGUAAACCUCUGUCAGAAGGGAAGAAACCGCACUGUGCUAAUCAGCAGUGCCUUGACGGUACCUUCAAAGGAAGCACCGGCUAACUCCGUGCCAGCAGCCGCGGUAAUACGGAGGGUGCAAGCGUUAAUCGGAAUUACUGGGCGUAAAGCGCACGUAGGCUGCUUUGUAAGUCAGGGGUGAAAUCCCACGGCUCAACCGUGGAACUGCCUUUGAUACUGCUUAGCUUGAAUCCGGGAGAGGGUGGCGGAAUUCCAGGUGUAGGAGUGAAAUCCGUAGAUAUCUGGAGGAACAUCAGUGGCGAAGGCGGCCACCUGGACCGGUAUUGACGCUGAGGUGCGAAAGCGUGGGGAGCAAACAGG
rnacentral:rRNA from 1 species